AAGACUUUAAGUUAUAUAAAYUAUUAUCCUUCAAAGUUAAAAAAAAAAAAUUUUAAGUCUUA
rnacentral:tRNA from 1 species